ensembl:lncRNA
UGUUCCAAUCCUUCCCCUCUCCUCUCCCCUUUUUCCUCCCAGGCAUGGAUGGUCAGCUUUUGGCCUGGUGCAGAGGCAGUGGUCAUGGUGGAUGGCAGGCCUGGCCUCCUCCAGGCUGGCUGCGCGACACUUCUUUGCUCUUGGGUGGGUAGAUGUUUUCCUGGUGGAUCCUCUUGAUUCCCCGUGGGUGGCCAUGAGUUCUUUUCUUUGUCUGUCCCCGGACGCAGCUGCCAUCGCGUUGUUGGUGCUGUUUCCUGCCCGAGAGGGAAUCCUGAGUGUUCUUCGCAGGAACAGUCCCUGCCUUUCCCAUUGGUCUCUGCUGUUUGCUGCUGCUUCGGCGGCCUUUCGGGGUCCUCUUGAGGAUGUGAACCAUCGGGGAGAUUAUCCAAAGUAGUCCAUCUUGCCUUUUCACCGAGACAUUUGUCCUUCUGCUGAGGUGCUGUGGCCGCCAGGGAGCGAGGUCUUCCUCAGCGUCUUGUGCAGCGUGUGGGCCUUGGGGGAUGGGAGCCAGAACCAGCAGCGGGUACGCGUGAGUUCUCCAAGGCUGGUGCUGCCAGGGGGUUUCUUUCUGCGGAUGGGAGGAUCUGGGUGGCGUUGCGCCUGGCACCAGGGCACCCACCCAAGCUGGCACAAGCCAAGGCCUGGAAGCCGGCACCAGGGCACCCAACCAAUCCGGCACAAGUGCACCCAACCAAGACAGAACCAUUGCACCUGCCAAGCCGGCACCAGUGCACCCAACCAAGAAGGCAUGAGGGCACCCACCCAAGCCGGCACCAGCAAAGGCCUUAAAGCUGGCAUCAGGGCACCCACCCAACCUGGCACGAGUGCAACCACUGAAGCCAGCACCAGGGCACCCAAACAAGCCGGCACCAGUGCACCUGCCAAGCCGGCACCAGUGCACCCAACCAAGAAGGCACCAGGGCACCCAAACAAGCUGGCACCAGUGCACUCAACCAAGCUGGCACCAGUGCACCCACCCAAGCCGGCACAAGUGCACCCACCCAGGAAGGCACCAGGGCACCUGCCCAAGAUGGCAGCAGGGUACACAACCAAACCGGCACAAGUGGACCCACCCAGGAAGGCACCAGGGCACCCAACCAAGCCGGCACCAUUGCACCCACCCAAGCAGGCACAGGGGCAUCCACCCAAGCCGGCACCAGUGCACCCACCCAAGCAGGCAACAGGGCACCUACCCAAGCCAGCACCAGAGCACCCAUACAAGCCAGCAACAGGACACCUACCGAAGCUGGAACAUGCCAAGGCCUGGAAGCCGGCACCAGGGAACCCACCCAAACCGGCACCAGGGCAUCCACCCAAGCUGGGACGAAUGUGCAAACCCAAGCCAGGACCAGGCCUCAAAACCGAGCCAGAACCAGUGCACCCACCCAGGCUGUCACCAGUGCACCUCCCAAGCCGGCACCAGUGUACCCACCCAAGCAGGCACCAGGGCACCCACACAAGCCAGCACAAGGACACCCACCCAAGCUGGAACCAGCCAAGGCCUGGAAGCUGGCACCAGGGCACCCACCCAAGCUGGGACGAGUGCACCCACCCAAGCCGGCAGCAGGCCUCAAAACCCAGCAAGAAGCAGUGCACCCACCCAGGCCGGCACCAGGGCACCCACCAAACCUGGCACUAG